rnacentral:rRNA from 1 species
AGUUCAUAUCGACGGCGGUGUUUGGCACCUCGAUGUCGGCUCAUCACAUCCUGGGGCUGAAGUAGGUCCCAAGGGUAUGGCUGUUCGCCAUUUAAAGUGGUACGCGAGCUGGGUUUAGAACGUCGUGGGACAGUUCGGUCCCUAUCUGCCGUGGGCGUAGGAGAAUUGGUUGGGGCUGCUCCUAGUACGAGAGGACCGGAGUGGACGCACCACUGGUGUUC